GCCCAGGCCUCAGGCCAAUGGGGCCGCAGAUCUCCGGCCUGGACUCUCAGGAGCCCUGGGGUCGGGUUUGCGGGCUCUUCUCAGCCUGGAGAGGCCACUUAGCGGUACAGACAAGCUCACUGCCCGAGCCCUGGGUCAGCCCUGACCUGCAGCAGCAGAGGAUGAUGGCUCCAGCCCCACCCCUGGGACUCCUCACCGAUUCCUGAACCAUAAGCUUCAUCUGCUGGGCCAGACAUCUUGUAUUUGCUAUCACCGCUCUCCCCCGCCCCCCAACCCAGCCCUCCCUGCAUUCAGCAGGUGCUCACUGAGCUCCUGCCCUGCAUCUGACAAUGCUCCGGCAUCUGGGAUACAGCAGAAAACAAAGCAGACAAAGUCGCUGCCUUCUUGCUGCUGAUAUUUCCUCGAAAGAGACAGACGAGAGGCACCUGGGUGGCUCAGUUAGUUAAGCAUCUGCCUUUGUCUCAGGUUAUGAUCCCAGGGUCCUGGGAUUGAACCCCUCAUAGGGCACCCUGCUCAGCAAGGAGCUGGCUUCUCCCUCUCUCUCUGCUACUCCCCUGGCUUAUUCUCUCUCUCUGUGUGUGUCAAAUAAAUACAUAAAAUCUUUUUUAAAAAACCA
rnacentral:lncRNA from 12 species